UAGUAGAUACAAUGGAGCUAUC
rnacentral:miRNA from 1 species